rnacentral:sRNA from 1 species
ACCGGGCACAGUGGUGCAUGCCUGUCGUCCUAGCUACUUAGGAGGCUGAGGCAGGAGGAUCACUUGAGACCAGGUGGGCAACAUAGCAAGACCCGGUCUAAA